rnacentral:rRNA from 1 species
ACGAACGCUGGCGGCGUGCUUAACACAUGCAAGUCGAACGGAAAGGCCCUGCUUUUGUGGGGUGCUCGAGUGGCGAACGGGUGAGUAACACGUGAGUAACCUGCCCUUGACUUUGGGAUAACUUCAGGAAACUGGGGCUAAUACCGGAUAGGAGCUCCUGCUGCAUGGUGGGGGUUGGAAAGUUUCGGCGGUUGGGGAUGGACUCGCGGCUUAUCAGCUUGUUGGUGGGGUAGUGGCUUACCAAGGCUUUGACGGGUAGCCGGCCUGAGAGGGUGACCGGCCACAUUGGGACUGAGCUGCGGCCCAGACUACUACGGGAGGCAGCAGUGGGGAAUAUUGCACAAUGGGCGGAAGCCUGAUGCAGCAACGCCGCGUGCGGGAUGACGGCCUUCGGGUUGUAAACCGCUUUCGCCUGUGACGAAGCGUGAGUGACGGUAAUGGGUAAAGAAGCACCGGCUAACUACGUG